CAGAGUGUAGCUAAAAAGUAAAGCAUCUCCCUUACACCGAGAAGGUACUCGUGCAAAUCGAAUCAUUCUGA
rnacentral:tRNA from 1 species